AAACUUUCAACAACGGAUCUCUUGGUUCUCGCAUCGAUGAAGAACGCAGCGAAAUGCGAUACGUAAUGUGAAUUGCAGAAUUCCGUGAAUCAUCGAAUCUUUGAACGCACAUUGCGCCCCUUGGUAUUCCAGGGGCAUGCCUGUUUGAGCGUCAUUUC
rnacentral:rRNA from 1 species